GAUGAAGAACGUAGCGAAAUGCGAUAAGUAAUGUGAAUUGCAGAAUUCAGUGAAUCAUCGAGUCUUUGAACGCACAUUGCGCCCCCUGGUAUUCCGGGGGGCAUGCCUGUCCGAGCGUCAUUGCCGCCCUCAAGCACGGCUUGUGUGUUGGGCCCCCGCCCCCCGGCUUCGGGGGGCGGGCCCGAAAGGCAGCGGCGGCACUGCGUCCGGUCCUCGAGCGUAUGGGGCUUCGUCACCCGCUCUGUAGGCCCGGCCGGCGCCCGCCGGCGACCCCAAUCAAUCUUUCCAGGUUGACCUCGGAUCAGGUAGGGAUACCCGCUGAACUUAAGCAUAUCAAUAAGCGGAGGA
rnacentral:misc_RNA from 1 species